GGCUGGUCCGAGUGUAGCGGCGUUUGCAGCUAGCUGAUGGCCACCAGGUACAGAUUCCUUUGUUCCUUCUCCAUUCCCACUGUUUCACUUGACUAGUUAAAA
ensembl:misc_RNA Y_RNA Y RNA